rnacentral:piRNA from 1 species
UACAGAAUUGUGGAGGACAAAAUGAGCCC